rnacentral:tRNA from 1 species
CCGCCAGUAGCUCAGUUGGUGAGAGCGCAAGUCUUAUAAACUUGAGGUCGCUGGUUCAAGCCCAGCCUGGCGGACCA